rnacentral:rRNA from 1 species
UACGGCCAUACCCUGAACGCGCCGGAUCCCAUCUGAUCUCGGAAGCUAAUCAGGGUUGGGCCUGGUUAGUACUUGGAUGGGUAGAAAUCCUGUCUUUAC